UCGACUACUGUUGAGUCAUCAUCAGGAAUUAUGAAAGCUUUCAUAAUUCCUGAUGAUGACUCAACAGUAGUCGA